CUGUAAGCCUGUGAAGGUGUACUGUGAGGUAUGCUGGAGGUAUCAGAAGUGCGAAUGCUGACAUAAGUAACGAUAAAGCGGGUGAAAAGCCCGCUCGCCGGAAGACCAAGGGUUCCUGUCCAACGUUAAUCGGGGCAGGGUGAGUCGACCCCUAAGGCGAGGCCGAAAGGCGUAGUCGAUGGGAAACAGGUUAAUAUUCCUGUACUUGGUGUUACUGCGAAGGGGGGACGGAGAAGGCUAUGUUGGCCGGGCGACGGUUGUCCCGGUUUAAGCGUGUAGGCUGGUUUUCCAGGCAAAUCCGGAAAAUCAAGGCUGAGGCGUGAUGACGAGGCACUACGGUGCUGAAGCAACAAAUGCCCUGCUUCCAGG
rnacentral:rRNA from 1 species